rnacentral:tmRNA from 1 species
GGGGGCGACACGGCUUCGACGGGGCCUGUCCAAAGCUGAGGUUGCGCGUCGCGGGGCAGUCGGCCGCGUCAUCAAACUGCACGCCUUAACUGGCAACAACAACUACGCACUAGCUGCUUAACCGCAGUUAGCGUUCCCCGGAAGCCUCGCCCGUGGCUCGCCGGAUCGAACGUCCUGAUACGGGCUGGCUCCGAUACUCGAGCGUUGGUAGUAGGAGCGAGAACCUAGACGCUUAAGCGGGUGGCAGCGUCCGCUGCCGAACCAGCCACCCGCCGACAAUCGAUCGGCAGCUACACGCGUAGACGCCCAGCCGAGGCGGUUCCGGACGCGGGUUCGACUCCCGCCGCCUCCACCA